AAACUCUAGUUAUGUGCAGUCAAUGACCAAGACAGAGCAUCACAUCUUAUAUGAAGAGAUACUAGUACUCAUUCUGGAGCCAUAUAUGUUUCAACCUCCAGAACAAAAUCAGAUAGCCACUUGAUGAUACACAUAAAAUAUUAGCAGUCUCUCCAAUCUCCAGAAACACAAGGAUUAAUUGAUUUUAUAUCCAAGUAUGACAAAGUAAUACUGGCAUCAAAAUAUGUAAUCUCAAUUCUCAACAUUAACUUCAAACAUCUCCAUAG
rnacentral:lncRNA from 1 species